UACAGAGGGUGCGAGCGUUAAUCGGAAUUACUGGGCGUAAAGGGCGCGUAGGCGGCCUGUUAAGUCGAACGUGAAAUCCCCGGGCUCAACCCGGGAACUGCGUCCGAUACUGGCAGGCUUGAAUCCGGGAGAGGGAUGUGGAAUUCCCAGGUGUAGCGGUGAAAUGCGUAGAUAUCUGGAGGAACACCGGUGGCGAAGGCGACAUCCUGGACCGGUAUUGACGCUGAGGCGCGAAAGCCAGGGGAGCAAACGGG
rnacentral:rRNA from 1 species